rnacentral:rRNA from 1 species
GAUGAACGCUAGCUACAGGCUUAACACAUGCAAGUCGAGGGGCAGCACAGUGUAGCAAUACAUGGGUGGCGACCGGCGCACGGGUGCGUAACGCGUAUCCAACCUUCCCGUUACUCAGGGAUAGCCUUCCGAAAGGGAGAUUAAUACCUGAUGGUGUUUGAAUUCCGCAUGUUAUUCAAACUAAAGAUUUAUCGGUAACGGAUGGGGAUGCGUGACAUUAGGUAGAUGGCGGGGUAACGGCCCACCAUGCCUACGAUGUCUAGGGGUUCUGAGAGGAAGGUCCCCCACACUGGAACUGAGACACGGUCCAGACUCCUACGGGAGGCAGCAGUGAGGAAUAUUGGUCAAUGGUCGGAAGACUGAACCAGCCAAGUAGCGUGAAGGAUGAAGGUUCUAUGGAUUGUAAACUUCUUUUGUAUGAGGGUAAUAAGCUUUACGUGUAGAGUGAUGAGAGUACCUUACGAAUAAGCAUCGGCUAACUCCGUGCCAGCCAGCCG